GGCUUAGGAUGAACGCUAGCUACAGGCUAACACAUGCAAGUCGAGGGCAGCAUAUAGAUAGCUUGCUAUUUAUGAUGGCGACCGGCGCACGGGUGAGUAACGCGUAUCCAACCUUCCCUAGUACUAGAGAAGUAGCCCGGCGAAAGUCGGAUUAAUGCUCUAUGUUCUUCUUUGAUGGCAUCUGACGAGAAGCAAAAGGUUUACCGGUAUAGGAUGGGGGAUGCGUCUGAUUAGGUUGUUGGCGGGGUAACGGCCCACCAAGCCUACGAUCAGUAGGGGUUCUGAGAGGAAGGUCCCCCACAUUGGUACUGAGACACGAACCAAACUCCUACGGGAGGCAGCAGUGAGGAAUAUUGGUCAAUGGGCGAGAGCCUGAACCAGCCAAGUAGCGUGCCAGGAUGACUGCCCUAUGGGUUGUAAACUGCUUUUAUAGGGGAAUAAAGUGAGGUAUGCAUACCUUUUUGUAUGUACCCUAUGAAUAAGGACCGGCUAAUUCCGUGCCAGCCGCGGC
rnacentral:rRNA from 1 species